UACGUAGGGGGCGAGCGUUGUCCGGAUUUAUUGGGCGUAAAGGGUACGCAGGCGGCCAUGUAAGUCAGGUGUGAAAUUCUAUAGCUUAACUAUAGUAAGCACUUGAAACUGUGUGGCUUGAGUUAAGGAGAGGAAAGUGGAAUUCCUAGUGUAGCGGUGAAAUGCGUAGAUAUUAGGAGGAAUACCAGUGGCGAAGGCGACUUUCUGGACUUAUACUGACGCUGAGGUACGAAAGCGUGGGGAGCAAACAGG
rnacentral:rRNA from 1 species